GGAAUUUCUUCUUUUUCUUUGGGAUCUGGACCCAUGGGAACCGCCUUGAAUCUCACUGAACAAGAUAUGAAGAAUACACAUAUAAUUUCAAUCAGUCUACAAACACAUGCGAGUAAUGGUAAGUAUCUGAUUUUUAUUGAUACUGUGCAGAUCAUGGAGACUUUCUGAUAUAACAUUCUGGAAAGUAGGAUGGUAGGAUUGUAAAAAUGGUAUGAGUAACUGGUAAUAUGAAGAAGAAGAAGAAGAAGAAGAA
rnacentral:lncRNA from 1 species